AAUGACCUCUGCUGGCGUGUCUGA
rnacentral:piRNA from 1 species